UACGGGAGGCAGCAGUGGGGAAUAUUGCACAAUGGGCGAAAGCCUGAUGCAGCUAUGCCGCGUGUAUGAAGAAGGCCUUAGGGUUGUAAAGUACUUUCAUCGGGGAGGAAAAAACAAAACUAAUAAUUUUAUUUCUUGACGUUACCCGAAAAAGAAGCACCGGCUAACUCCGUGCCAGCAGCCGCGGUAAUACGGAGGGUGCUAGCGUUAAUCAGAAUUACUGGGCGUAAAGAGCACGUAGGUGGUUUUUUUAAAGUCAGAUGUGAAUCCCUGGGCUUAACCUGGAACUGCAUUUUGAAACUGAAAUACUAGAGUAUCGUAGAGGGAGGUAGAAUUCUAGGUGUAGCGGUGAAAUGCGUAGAUAUCUGGAGGAAUACCUGUGGCGAAAGCGGCCUCCUAAACGAAUACUGACACUGAGGUGCGAAAGCGUGGGGAGCGAAACAGGGAUUAGAUACC
rnacentral:rRNA from 1 species